rnacentral:rRNA from 1 species
GAUUAACGCUAGCGGGAGGCCUAAUACGUGCAAGGCGAGGGCGCAGCAAUGUGACCGCCGUACGGGUGCGUAACGCGUAUGCAACCUACCCAUCACAGGGGGACAGCCCAUGGAAACGUGGAUUAAUACCGCAUGAUGCAGAAUUACUACCUGGUGAUUUUGCUAAAGAUUUAUCGGUGAUGGAUGGGCAUGCGUCUGAUUAGCUAGUUGGUUGAGGUAACGGCUCACCAAGGCGACGAUCAGUAGGGGAGCUGAGAGGUUUUUCCCCCACACGGGCACUGAGAUACGGGCCCG